CACACAUAACUGUAGACACGGCCGGCGCGGGUGCUGCUCUUGGGGGCAUGCAACUGCUUGCUGGACCACCAGGGACGGCGAACCCGAGAAGUGCUGGAGGAACGUGUGGAGUGUCCAGCGGUGUAACACUGUACCAGCAAGUGCUUCCAACUUCUGGUGACAAGAUGGUCCACCAACCCGUCCUCACUCAAAUGGUCCAGCUCUCUGCGGGCGGGCGGGCGGACGGACGGACGGACGGGCGAGCGGGCGGGCGGGCGGACGGGCGGGCGAGUGGAAUGUUAAUAUUACCCUAGUAACCAGCUGCCUCGCCUUCCACCACCACCACACGCCUUGUACAUAUGUGCUUAUAUGAAAACUUUUCUUAAUGAAGAGAGUUUAGUCUUGUUGCGACAUAAUCAAACUUUAUUAGUGCAUAACUUUACACCCCCUUCGGCGAGCAGGUUCACUCACACGCGGCCGCUGCGUGGGUGAAUGUAUUACCAAAAGUUGUAUUUUCCGUGUCGUCUUCAGACCAUUGUCGGUGGACACCCUAGACCGACCUGGUCACUUACUGGUCUCGUCUGACCAGACGAUAUUUUCUGCAUUGGUUGCUGGACUAGUUCAGCAGGACCAUAAGUGUAGUAAUGGUUGCUGGACUAGUUCAGCAGGGCCAUAAGUGUAGUAAUGGUUGCUGGACUAGUUCAGCAGGACCAUAAGUGUAGUAAUGGUUGCUGGACUAGUUCAGCAGGACCACAAGUGUAGUAAUGGUUGCUGGACUAGUUCAGCAGGACCAUAAGUGUAGUAAUGGUUGCUGGACUAGUUCAGCAGGACCAUAAGUGUAGUAAUGGUUGCUGGACUAGUUCAGCAGGACCACAAGUGUAGUAAUGGUUGCUGGACUAGUUCAGCAGGACCACAAGUGUAGUAAUGGUUGCUGGACUAGUUCAGCAGGACCAUAAGUGUAGUAAUGGUUGCUGGACUAGUUCAGCAGGACCACAAGUGUAGUAAUGGUUGCUGGACUAGUUCAGCAGGACCAUAAGUGUAGUAAUGGUUGCUGGACUAGUUCAGCAGGACCACAAGUGUAGUAAUGGUUGCUGGACUAGUUCAGCAGGGCCAUAAGUGUAGUAAUGGUUGCUGGACUAGUUCAGCAGGACCAUAAGUGUAGUAAUGGUUGCUGGACUAGUUCAGCAGGGCCAUAAGUGUAGUAAUGGUUGCUGGACUAGUUCAGCAGGACCACAAGUGUAGUAAUGGUUGCUGGACUAGUUCAGCAGGACCAUAAGUGUAGUAAUGUGUAAAGAUGUACGGUCUGGAAACAACAAUUGAGCAGAGGAGUUGCAGAAUAUGUAGUGAGAGUGACGGACACCGCCUUGAUCACUACCUGAGAGAAUGUGAACAUCUGAGACAUUAGAAAUAUGUGUAGAAUAAUAAACCCCACAUUGUUUGAGUAAGG